UCUUUGAAUAGUAGACUUGAGAGGCGCGGGAAUACUACCGUGGCGUCAGGUGAUCAAUUUUCAUAACGGCAAGGAAAGUUGCGUGAGUGCGCCACACCAGAUUUUAUAAUUUGGCACAUAAUGCUCAUUAUCUACUAAGGUGUAGAUAUAGUUUCGUGAAAAUGUUCUUUAAUUCUCCGAAAACUCGGCAAUAAAUUGUCGAAACUAAUUUACCCCGUCAAGUAAAAUAUUAAAUUUUUCCUAUUUCUGGUAGAACCUCUCAUGAAACAACAAUCCAUAAGGCAAUAUUAUUCAGAAUAGGUUUCUGCUCAAGUAUAUGACGAAGAAGAAGAUAUUUUAUUUUCAAGCAUUUGGUAUUUUUAAUUUUUCAAUCAAAUAGAAAAAGAAUACAUACAAAUUUUGAUUACGAGGACCUUAUUUCUUGUACAAUAACUUCAGUGAAUUAAAACAAAACAUUAAAUGAAAUGAUAGCAAGCAGUUCGUAAUGGAAACCAACAUUGAGGAAAUUAUUUAUUUCAUUAAAAUUAUUACUAAAUAGAUGUUUUUUUCCACGUGGUGAAUUCGAAACAUAUGCUUUUCAAAGGGGAAGUCUAUAGUGACUGUGGUAGGUAGGUAGUGAAAUUCGAGAAACGGGAAGUCCAACAGUUUAGAACGUUGUCUCUGUCUCUCUAUUAUGCCACACUGAAUCACACACACUCUCUCUCUCUCUCUCUCUCUCACACACACACACACCCCUAAACUUUCUAUUCUCUACAGAUCCAACCACCAUUUUCUCUUUUUGAAAAAGUCAACUAUUCUGGUGCUGGUAUUCGUUCGUCUUCAGUUUCAGUUCAUUUGCCUCUUCACAACGUUUAGAAGUACCGGUAGCAUCGCGCUAAUUUCGAGAUUGAUUUCUGAGAUUGUAAUAAAAUUGGCAGAUAGAUUUAGAUAAAUAGAUAGGCUUAGUAAUAGAUUUUUGAGUUGAUAGGUUUGAUAAAUAGGGAAUUGAUUGAUAGAGAGUAGAUUAGGUAGUUCAUUGAGUUUCUGUCAGUUACCGUAUUGUAUCUGUUGUGUUUCUGCGGUGACUGCGUCUGUUCACUGUUCAGGAGGAAUUCUUACAUAAACUUGGAGGAGGGAAUGUUGUGACGCCGCUCGUCCGGCUGACAACAAAUGAAGUUGCCACCAACUUCUGCAGGGAAGGCGGGAAAGGGAAGAGGUCCCUAAACAGCCUUCUGAUAAACAAAAUUCUGGAGAAAGUUGUUGCUGCGUCUCUGGAGAUUUCAUGAGCAAGCUGUUUGAAACCAGGGUGUAUUAAAGAGUGGCUCCGGCAGGCUGGGACCGGAAUGUAAUUUAUUAAAAACUUCAAAAAAUAAUUGAAUUAACUAGAAUUUAUUUGUCACGUUUCAUGAGAUUGUAGUGGAAUAAAAAUGUAUUUUCAAGUUGUA